UUUUUUUUUUUUUUUACAACAGGUCAGUAAACUAGUUAAUUAAGAGACUUGAGUUUUAGACACCAUAUUGCCUGUUUUUGCUCUAUUUCUACAACAAAAAAUAAUUCCAAACACAGCCACCAAACCACAGUUUUGCGUCUCUGAGCAACAUGACAGUAUUUCGUUCCUGAAUGAAUCAACAGUUUAAAUGAUUCGGUUCAAUUGCAAUGACUUAUUAACAGUGACUUGCUGACACAUACUGGGCAUUUUAAUUUCACAUUUAAACUAUCUUUUGAUUUUUUUUAAAUAAUUAAUUUCUUAUAAUUUCAAAUGAGUAUUCAACAUUUUAUGUCUUGUAUAUCAAAACAUUAUUCAUGCAUUUGUAACUGCAGGUUAAAUGCAUUCUUGUCCUGCACUAAACAGUGUGUAAAUACAUCUAAAUGCCACUUCCGAUGAAUCUUCUGCAUUUCCUCUGCACUGAAAAGAUGAGUUUGUUGAUACUGAUUUGCCUGGUAACAGCCCAAAUGUCUUAUUAUUCUAAAUAACUGAUUCCUUUCAUUAAAAACAACUAGUUUGAGAUUAAUAGGCCUGCCCUGUCCCAUUUUUGCCUCCCUCCCACUGUUAAAAUGUAACUAAGUCAUUUUUACUUAAUUUUUAAUUCCAAUUAUUUUUGAUUGUAUAUUAUCAGGUUUGGGGACCUUUAUAAUCAAGAAAGAAGGAUGUCUGCAGUAAGAUUCCUGCUGAAUCUCAGUGUUGCUACAGUAGAAAGUGACACAGAUACAGGAACAAGAUUCUCAACUCUGUCAUCUAUGUGCAGCUACAAAACCUUCCCUUUUGAGUUUGAUCAGUAUAAUGAUUUUGAUCAGAGUGAUUUCCUGCUGGAUCUUUGCUCAUGUGUGAAGAACUAUGAGACUCAAACAGGCAGGAGUUUCCUUCCAGCAUUCCAGUCAGUAUUCCAGUCACCUGAUGUCUGGAUCAUAGAUCUCUCACAGAGAAUGAUCUCCAUCCUCCUGGAAGUACUGAAACUCCAAACAGAGAAGAAACCAGUAGAGUUGAGAGGAUGUUCAGAGGAAGAAACUGAAGUGAUGAGUUUCCUUCAGUGUCUGCCCUACAUCUCACAGCUGAGAUUCGAUCACUGGAAUAGCAGUCAUGCAGUGCAGUUUGUUCUGAAAGUCUUCAUUAAAGCAGCAGAGACUGAGAGACAGACAGGAGAGCAGAUGCUGAAACCGUUAACAUCAGUCUGCACCUACAGCUCUUUUCCUUAUGAAUGGACUGAUAGAAUUAAACAGAUUAAUUUCCUGCUGGAUCUUUACUCACAUGUGGAGAACUAUGAGACUCAAACAAGCAGGAGUUUCCUUCCAGUAUUACAAUCAGUUUUCCAGUCACCUGAUGUCUGGAUCAUAGAUCCCUCACAGAGAAAGAUCUCCCUCAUCCUGGAAGUGUUGAAACUCCAAACAGAGAAGAAACCAGUAGAGCUGAGAGGAUGUUCAAAGGAAGAGAGUGAAAUGAUGAGUGUCCUUCAGUGUCUGCCGUACAUCUCACAGCUGAGGUUUGACUAUUGGAAUAGCAGUCUUGCCAUUCGGAGUGUUUUGAGUCUCUUCAUUAAAGCAGCAGAGACUGAGAGACAGACAGGAGAGCAGAUGCUGAAACUGUUAACAUCAGUCUGCACCUACAGCUCUUUUCCUUAUGAAAUGACUGACAUAAUUAAACAGAGUGAUUUUCUGCUGGAUCUUUACUCAUAUAUGAAGAAUUUUGAGACUCAAACAGGCAGGAGUUUCCUUCCAGUAUUACAAUCAGUUUUCCAGUCAGCACCUGAUGUCUGGUCCAUAGAUCUCUCACAGAGAAAGACCUCUCUCCUUCUGGAAGUGCUGAAACUGCAAACAGAGAAGAAACCAGUAGAACUGAGAGGAUGUACAGAAGAAGAGAGUGAAGUGAUGAGUUUCCUUCAGUGUCUGCCCUACAUCUCACAGCUGAGGUUUGAUCAUUGGAACAACAAUCAUGCAGUGCAGUUUGUUCUGAAAGUCUUCAUUAAAGCAGCAGAAACUGAGACACAGACAGAAGAGCAGAUGCUGAAACUGCUAACAACAGUCUGCACCUACAGCUCUUUCCCAUAUCAGUGGUCUGACAGAAUUAAACAGAGUGAUUUCUUGCUGGAUCUAUACUCACAUGUGAAGAACUAUGAGACUCAAACAGGCAGAAGUUUGCUUCCAGCAUUACAAUCAGUUUUCCAGUCAGCACCUGAUGUCUGGUCCAUAGAUCUCUCACAGAGAAAAAACUCCUCUCUCCUGGAAGUACUGAAACUCCAAACAGAGAAGAAACGAGUAGAACUGAGAGGAUGUUCAGAGGAAGAGAGUGAAGUGAUGAGUUUCCUUCAGUGUCUGCCCUAUAUCUCACAGCUGAGGUGAGAGAAUCUACAACAAUGUCCAGUGUCAGGGUUUUNGUUUAAUUUGGUUUCAGCUCAGUGACAGGGUUCAGACAUUCAUGCUCCAUGUUUUGUCUUUUGUUGAGAGCACAUGAGUUGAGUGCUCAUUUCCUCACUGUGUGCUCGUCAUGUCUUGUGUGUUUUUGUCAAGCACCUGACUUGUGAUCUGCUUCAGUUGACAUGUUUGAUGUAACACACGGCUUGUCAUGGUUUUCAUUGGCCACAUGUUCUCAUCUUUAUGUUUUGUCUGAGCAUGUGCCUUUUGUUAUGUUUGUUUCUAUGUGCCAUGUGCUCCCCUAUUUGUCUUGACUCUACUCUUCUUGUAGUAGACCAUCAUUUAGACCACCUCUCCUCUCUUGUUAUCCUCCUGAUGUUCUUCCCUAUUUAUUCUCCCUGCGUUCUCUGCCCUGUGCUAGAAUGACGUCCAAUGUUUCUGUAUGGUGUUCCCCACUGUGCCCAUCCUGUCUCUGUCCUCCCUUGCCUCACUUUCCUAGACUUAUUUUGCACAUAAAUACAAAACUUUGUUCCUUUUUUUCCCAAUUGUAAUGGGUCAUGUUAAUUUAUCUAGUCAUUCUAUUCAAGUAUUUUUUUUAAAUUUUAUUAUUAUUAUUUUUUUCAGUUGUUCUGAGCUGUGUUUGUUAACACUAGUUAAAGUGGUCCAGUACAGAGAGAAUCCAGAGUUGGUGACUUUACUGUUGGAGGUUCUUGGCUUCUCCCUCAGUCUGGAAGGACAUUUACCCAGUAAAACCUGCAGGUCUGUGGGGAGAUUCUUACGUUUCUCUUCUGACAGACUCAACCUCACUCUAAAACCUAAAGCCGUCUCUCUAAGAGGAACAAGGCUUCUUUUCAGACACAUCAAAAACAUACACACACUNGCAGUUUUUGACUUUAUAUUUAUCAUGGCAUAG
ensembl:lncRNA